CCCCUCAUUCGAAACCGCUGCCUCAGGAGGGAGAGAGAGUUCCUCUAGAGAGAGAAAAUAAGUAGAGUGAGGAAGUGCGAGAUGAAAUUCAUGCAGAGCGUGGGAGUAGUUUUUAUUUUCUUUUUAAAUUUCAACAUUUGUGCAAUAAAUUCUCCUAUUUGAUUUCACAUUUGCAGAACUUGAAUGUAUUGUUCUUGUUUUUGUGAAUUUGGGAGUAUUUAUUACAAUUAAUGAGUCGAUUAGGGUUUAAAACGUUGGUGUACCAUGGAGAUGUGUAUUUGGGAGAGCUGGAUACUGUUCCAGUGAAGGAUGGGAAUUUCCAGUUCCCGAACAAUGAGAUUCGUAUUCAUACAAUCUCCCCCAAAAGUGAGAGAUGUCACCCUCUCUCGGUUCUACAAACAAUUUCCUCUGUUUCAGUUCGUUGCAAACUCGAGCCUAAUGCUAAUACAAAUUCCAAUCAAAAUCCUGAGCAUUUGAUCAAUCUCCACGCGUCUUGCUUUUACGAACUCAAGACGGCAGUGGUGCUACUAGAGAACGAGGAGAUUCAUUUAGUGGCAAUGCCUAGUAAGCAGAAGAAAUUCCCUUGUUUUUGGUGCUACUCAGUGCCGAGUGGUUUGUAUAGUGCAUGCCUAUGGAUGUUGAAUACACGCUGUUUAGCGAUUGUGUUUGAUCUUGAUGAAACUCUCAUUGUUGCCAACACAAUGAAAUCAUUUGAGGAUAGAAUUGAGUCUUCGCAGGAUUGUAUUGAACGUGAGACUGAUCCGAUUCGGGAAUCUGGAAUUGUAGCUCAGAUGAAGAGAUACGUUGAAGAUCGGUUAUUACUGAAGCAGUAUGCAGAGACUGAUUGUGUUGUGGAUGGUGGGAAAGUGUAUAAUGUUCAAUAUGAGGAGGUGCCUGCGCUAUCUGAUGGGCUUGAGCGGGUGGUUCGGCCGGUUAUUAGAUUGCCAGAACAAAAUGUUGUUCUAACUCGCAUUAAUCCUGAGAAUCAUGAUACUAGUGUGCUAGUCAGGUUACGACCUGCUUGGGAAGAUUUGAAAAGUUAUUUGACUGCGAAAGGUCGGAAAAGGUUUGAAGUUUAUGUUUGUACUAUGGCUGAAAGAGAUUAUGCACUGGAAAUGUGGAGGCUUCUUGAUCCAGAAGCACGUUUGAUUAGUUCAAAGCAACUACUGGACCGUGUUGUUUGUGUCAAAACAGGGGCAAGAAAAUCUUUACUCAAUGUUUUCCAAGGUGGAAAUUGUCAUCCAAAAAUGGCAAUGGUAAUUGAUGAUCGCUUGAAGGUGUGGGAAGAGAAGGAUCAGCCUCGUGUUCAUGUAGUACCUGCGUUUACUCCAUAUUUUUCUCCUCAGGCAGAGACUGCAUUUGCUGUUCCAGUCCUUUGUGUAGCAAGAAACGUUGCAUGCAAUGUCAGGGGCGGUUUUUUUAAAGAGUUCGAUGAAAAUCUACUUCGAAGAAUAUGCGAUGUUUUCUAUGAAGACGAAGUCGUGAAUUUGCCUUCGCCAUCAGAUGUGAGCAACUACUUGAUGUCAGAGGAUUCUAGUUUUGUACCUAAUGGACAUCUUAAUGCUCCAAUUAUUGAGGGAAUGAAUGGCCCAGAAGUUGCUCAGAGAUUGAACUACACGGAAGAGAAGAAUGUUACAAAUGCUGUUUCUCGAUCUGUGACUAACAAUGUAGAGAUGAAAUCUGAAAGUACUAAGCUCCCUGUAGAAUCCGUCGCAAGUGCUAUUGUUCCACCAUCUUCAAGAGCAAUAUUGCCUUCGGAAAAACCUAGUUUACUUGGAGAUCCAUUUAGAAGGGAAAACAGGUACCUAGCUUCGACGGAACCUUCUCUAUUGACUAGAUUGCCUCAGCAGCAACCUGCACCUUUCCUACAAUCACAGGGGGGGUGGUUAGUAGAAGACACAAAUAGAGAGCAUUUCAAUAAUCGAUCAGAAGGAAAUCUUUCAGAAUCUGAUCCAUCCGAUAGACAGAAAGGUCGUCAGAAUUCAUUUACUAAUGGUACACCGCCUUCUGUUCUUCCAGGACUAUUGUCAAAUGUACCUCAAGUGAAGAAGGAAGAGGUUAACUCAGGGCACGAUGCACAGAAACAGAACCCUCUACUGGCUAAUCAGUUUGCAGAGUUUGGUGUUUCUCAAAACCAAUUCUUCUCCAAUAAUAGAGAGCUUAAACCUGAAAGUGAAAAAAUGAACUUGUUCCCUUCAUUGUCUAUUGGUGUGCUCCAAGAGAUAGGAAGAAGAUGCAGAUCAAAGGUUGAAUUUAAGCCAGUGGUAAGUGCCAGUGAUGAUUUGCAGUUCUCAAUAGAGGUUUUCUUUACUGGUGAAAAAAUCGGUGUUGGGAUGGGCAGGACAAGGAAGGAUGCUCAGCAACAGGCUGCUGAAAAUGCCCUUCGUGGCUUAGCUGACAACUACAUAUCUUAUAUUGCACUUCAUUCUAGAGCUGUGGAUAAUGAUUGCGAUAGACUCUCUGUACAAAGAGAAAAUGGUUUUCUCUGGGACGUCGUCAAUCCUGUGUCAGAUGAAUGGCCAGAGAAUAAUGAAUUUCCGAAUCAAAAUCCUACGGAGAUAAGGGUUGUGGGAGUAUUUCAAGAAUGAGUAGUGAUUAUCUGGGGAUAAACCGCUCCUUUCUUGGAAUUUGCUAUCACCAGAUUCUAGAGCGGAAACAGGGAAAUGAGGAGUGAGUUGUUUCAUGUUCUCUGCUGCUGUCUCUUCUAUGCUUUCUUUAGUCCUGUUUUAGAGAAAGCAGAGUGUGGACCUAGUACUACUUCCUCCAACGUGGUGAAUCAUCUUGUGCAAAAUCAUCCUAACUCGCCCCAGUGAAUGAUUAUAAAGGGAUUGUCUUUUGUCAUUAAAUUUCGUAAUUAGAAUCGUCAACGAAGAUCUGUUGUUGCUGUAGUCCGUAGAAUGAAGAAGAGAUGUGAUUCACACAGUGUGAAGCCAUACCUUAGAACAUAUCAUAGACUAUGGAGGUUAUGGAUCCAUCCUUGUCCUUUGCAGAGGAGGAAGACAGCCGACAUGAAAGAGAAGAGAAUGAAUGUCAGACUUUCGCUUGCCGAGGGAUUGAUUGGAUGAUCAUUGACUUUGUAGUGAAUAAUUGAUUUGCAGGACUAAAAA